GUUGUGGUCUCUGGGGUGUAGCAGGGUGUAAUGUUGUUGUGGUCUCUGGGGUGCAGCAGGUUGUAAUGUUGUUGUGGUCUCUGGGGUGUAGCAGGGUGUAAUGUUGUUGUGGUCUCUGGGGUGUAGCAGGGUGUAAUGUUGUUGUCUCUGGGGUGUAGCAGGGUGUAAUGUUGUUGUGGUCUCUGGGGUGUAGCAGGGUGUAAUGUUGUUGGUCUCUGGGGUGUAGCAGGGUGUAAUGUUGUUGUUGGUCUCUGGGGUGUAGCAGGGUGUAAUGUUGUUGUUGUCUCUGGGGUGUAGCAGGGUGAAAUGUUGUUGUUGUCUCUGGGGCGUAGCAGGGUGUAAUGUUGUUGUUGUCUCUGGGGUGUAGCAGGGUGUAAUGUUGUUUUGGUCUCUGGGUUGUAGCAGGGUGUAAUGUUGUUGUCUCUGGGGUGUAGCAGGGUGUAAUGUUGUUGUUGGUCUCUGGGGUGUAGCAGUGUGUAAUGUUGUUGUGGUCUCUGGGGUGUAGCAGGGUGUAAUGUUGUUGUGGUCUCUGGGGUGUAGCAGGGUGUAAUGUUGUUGGUCUCUGGGGUGUAGCAGGGUGUAAUGUUGUUGUUGUCUCUGGGGUGUAGCAGGGUGUAAUGUUGUUGUGGUCUCUGGGGUGGGCAGCGAGGUCUAUUCCCUAAAUAGUACACUACUUUAGAUCAGAACCCUAUGGACCCUAGUCAAAAGUAGUGCGCUGUUUGGGAAAUAGGUUAGUUAUGUAGCGGUCCAAAUAGGACAAUGGCAUUUGGGAAGCCACAAAUAUGAUUCUCUUUUACAAGAAGGCUUGUUGCCAUGGUAAUAUGUCCAUGCUGCUGGACUUAUUACACAAAGGAGAUUUUUUUUUGUUGAUAUGUAAAAUAAUGUUUUUUUCUGCUGUUUCCCUUCCACAAGGACCUGUAUUUCUUCCAGGUGUGAUGAACGAUUCCUGAGCUUUCUUCUCCUUCUUCUUUGGUAUUGGAUACAGCGCCACCUACUGUACUGGAGUGUGAGGCGAGUCACGGCCUACCUACAUUAAAUUAUCUUCAUUAUACCCC
rnacentral:lncRNA from 1 species